rnacentral:lncRNA from 10 species
GACAGAAGAGCUCCUUGGCACUGGAUGCCUCCGGGUCUGGUUGAGAGAGGAAUGGUUAGGAGACUGUUCUGAGGAUACGCAGACAUCAUCCAAAGCUUCCUACAUUCAGAUGAGGACAGAGGUUGGGCCAGAGCUUUGUAAGCUUGUUACCUAAGGAUGGUUCUGACCAUGUAAGCAGAUCACAGAAGCUGGAGGCAAAGGAUGCCAAGAUGGGAAAGCCACAUAAUGGAAGGAUCCUGGAUUUCAGAGCUGUCACUUGGAGGAGGGGCACCCAGUGAAGGUGUCUUAUCUAACCCACACCAUAUCUUCAUGAAGUGGCCAUAUGGAUUUGAUCCCUAUCCUUCAGAGGUGCUCAGCCUAAGGGAACACGGAUAGUAGAUUAAGCACUGACCAGGCUCAAGUUUGUACAUUCCAACUUGUUGUUUGGGCCUUGUUGGACAUAACUGAAGUCUGGAUGGCAGGGUGAAAAUUGGAUAAACAGCCACACUGACUCAGG